CCCUUAGAUGUUCUGGGCCGCACGCGCGCUACACUGACGAUGUCAACGAGUCUCUCCUUCGCCGAAAGGCGCGGGUAAUCUUCUGAAACAUCGUCGUGCUGGGGAUAGAUCAUUGCAAUUCUUGAUCUUGAACGAGGAAUUCCUAGUAAGCGCGAGUCAUCAGCUCGCGUUGAUUACGUCCCUGCCCUUUGUACACACCGCCCGUCGUUACUACCGAUUGAAUGGUUUAGUGAGGACUCCUGAUUGGCGCCGCCGCGCCGGCAACGGAGCAGCGGACUGCCGAAAAGUUGUUCAAACUUGAUCAUUUAGAGGAAGUAAAAGUCGUAACA
rnacentral:rRNA from 1 species